rnacentral:misc_RNA from 1 species
UGAACCACGUUAAAUUUUGUGUUCCUUAUUUUGUAUGGGUGUGAUUUUCACAACAGGAACCAACGGUAAUUUUAAUUCCCUUUUUGAAUUUGAAAUCUACGGGUUAAUUUUUUUUUUUUUAUUGAAUUACAACUUAUAAAUCCACACAAAAUAUAUAUCAUUGAAUUUCACCAAAACCAUUUACUGAUCAUUUAGCAUCUGCUAGUUCAAUAAUACAUGCAGACAAAACCAUUUCAUAUAGUAAUGCUUGAUAAAAAUAAUGAUUGGAUGUUAAAUGUAAAAAUAGUAAUAUCAUUUUUUUUUUUUUUACCUAUAGUCCAAAUAUUGAACACAACCUUAUUUGUUGCCGAGCAAGUCCAUUAUGCUCAAGUCCAAAAGCAGUGACAACAUAGACUCAGAUCAACCAAAGCUUCUAGAACCUGAGAUUCUACUGCCAAAAGCUUCCAUUUCCCCUUGUUCAUCUGGGCUUCCUACUCAUCAAGAUAGAAAGGCUGAAAUGAAAUGAAGGGCUUCAUACGGUUCAAUUUAUUAGCAUCUUAGCAGCAUCUUAGUCUUCAAUUCUCAGCAUAGAAACCCUGCAAAAAACAAUUCAGCAUUUCUAAUUUCAGAUAUGUUCCAAAAGAGUUUUAAUAGGAUUGAAAGAUCACAACAAUCUUCAUUAUCUUCAUCUUUUGCAUCAAAUUUGAGUGGUUUUGGGGAUAAGAUUCAGGAUCAGCUGUAAACCAUGACAACUGUAAUUCUUCUAGAGGAUGAGCAACAUAAGACAUUAAACAUUUUACCUUCAGUGAGCUCUAUAAACAAUGGCAUGCCAUGAGAACAGCAAUAGACCAAUUGAGUUAAAAAAAAAUCCAUCUUUCUGAAGUUCCAAGCAUAAUAAACCAAAUUAAACUCUCCAUAAAUCUGAAGCAACAAAUACCUUAACUUGUAGACCUUUGCCGCAGCUGCUUCCACGGCUGCUCUGAAAUGAUACUGGUAAUAUGUUUUCUUUUCCUUCAUUUUUUUUUCUUUGGCCACACAAGAUAUGAUAGAAACCUUGCUAAAUAACUUGGUGUCAAGAAAUCUUGGGCCCUUCCCCAAGUCAGGGACAGAGCAGCCCUCUCUGGCAUGGACAAAGUUCAAUCCUUACAAUAAGCCUCUCAAGUGCAAUAAGGAAAUCGAACUUUGGAUGUCCACUGAUAGGAACUGUUUGAUCGGAAAAAUCUGAGUGCAUCACACUCUUCUAUUUCAAUUUCAUCUACAGUAACAGACAAAGUAUCCAUUUGUUCCAUUAGUAAAUUUAGCGCAUCCAAGGAUUGGAAUCCAUGAACACUGAGUCGGUGUAGCCCAGAAGGUAACCUUUUUAGCUGUAGAGAACCAGCAUCCAUCAUCCAUCCUACUCUGAUUUCGAUUUCAUUUGAGAUAACCUCUAAUAAUGAAUAUAGCGAAUCUAAGGAUUGGAAUGUGCCAAUAGUGAGUCGAUACAGGCCAGAAUGCAAAUUUUCUAUUAACCAAUCUCGAGAAUCAUCGUAUAACCUCAUUUCAAUGAUUCUUGGAGCACUUGGAAGUGAUGCAACAAGUAGUUUCUGACAUCCUACAAUCUUAACUGUUGUUAGAGAUGGAAGAUGAUCAGACAGUACUGCCUUUGUUAGAUUGGGACACUCUCGUAUAUAAAGCUCUUGCAGGAGAGGGAAAGCUCCACCUUUAAAAGAAACCCAUUCAUGCCAUUGUAGCAUCCUUUCAAACACCAAAAUUUCCAGGGAUCCAAAUGGCUUCUUCAUGGACGAGCAACUUCCAUAAAACUCUUGACCGAUGAAUGUCACUCCAGGAAAGUCUAUGAUUGACAGUUGUUUUAUAGAAGCUAACUGCCCGAGUGGAGGUACAGAGGUGCAGUUUUUGCAUCCAUUGAGCUCCAAGCAUACAAUAUUUGAGAAAGAGGAGUUGCCCACCCAACUUGGAAAUUCUGUACCCCCAUAACCGACAGUAUAAAGACAUUCCAAGUUGGUGUGAGGGUGUAAUUGCUCAAGCAAUUCUUUAUCAUGCUCUGGAUUCUCUGUUUCACCAUUCCAUCUGAAUGUCAACAUCUUAAGGUGCUUCUUAGCCUUCAAAUCCGCUUCUACAGCAUCUCGAGUAUCAACAACAUUUUGUAGAUUCCUAAUGCAAAUUUGUCCCCGUAGAUCCUGAAGCCCCCCCAACUCUUUAAUGCUGGAUCCACUUUGCUUCCCCAAUAUGAAAUCAGUUAACUUUUGAAGCUUUGUUAACCUUCCCAUUUCUAGUGGCAUCUCUUGCAAUUUUGUUUCUCCAAUGUCAAGAUGAUUCAAAUGGAUUAACCUUCCCAUGUUGGUUGGCAAUUGAGCGAGGUUUCUGCACCCUUGCAGUAUUAAAGUCCGCAAAUUACAUAAACCAUCUAUAGAUUCUGGUAACCUUCUGAUUGAUGUUCGAAAGAGAUUCAGGUAUCGAACAUUGCUCAAAUUGCCAAUCGAAUCAGGUAAAACAGCAAGGUAUUUGCAUUCAUGCAAGAUUAAAGUUUGCAAAUUGUACAAACUACUCACAACUUCUGGCAGCGUUUCUAUGGAUGUUGAGGAGAGAUCUAGAUAACGCAAAUGUUUCAAGUUGCCGAUACAGUUAGGCAAUCCAACUAUGUUAUUAUAGUGGGAUAAAGAUAACACUCGCAAGUGUCCAAAUGUUAACAAUAAAGUUUGCAUUACCUCAUUAUCCAUGCAUUUACGAGGGGGCAACCGAGACAAUUCCACAGGGAAUAAGGUGCGCAAGAACUUGGCUUCAUAGAUUGCCUCAAAUUUAUCAGUAGCAUCAUGUUUUGUUCUUGUAUAUGACAAAUGACGAACCAUCCUAUCAACCUUGCAUGAAUUAUCAGCCUCCAAUCUGAAGGAAAAUUCUCCAGAUACAAGUAUUGCUAAGUCGUGUAUAAGGUCAUGCAUAACCAAGCCUGAUUGAUUACCACUUGAUGGCUGAAAAAGUGUCCUUGAUACCAGGAUAUUGAAGUAUUCUUCACCUACUUCCUCCAACUCCUUGUUUCCUUGAGAUUGGACUAGAAGACCCUCUGCCAUCCACAAAAAGACUAAUUCCUGUUUUUUAAAGUUAUAAUCCUUAGGAAACAUAGCACAGUAAGCAAAACAUUGCUUUAUGUGCGAUGGAAGAUAAUGAUAACUUAAUCUUAAAGCUGGAAGAAUGCUGUCACUUGUCAAAUUCCAUAAUUUGUUGUUUAAUACCUUCUUCCAUUCUUCAACGUCAGUUUUGGAUCGUAGGAGGCCUCCCAUUGUCUUUGCAGCUAAUGGUAAGCCUUUGCACUUUCUCACUAUUUCCCUACCAAUAACUUCCAAGUCGCAAUGUGCAUUAGGGUUUCCAUCAUCAAAUGCAUGUUUUGCAAACAAUGACCAGCAGUGAUCUGCAUUUAAUUCCUUUAAAUUAUGAGUUGGAACGGUGCGCAUAACUAGUGCUACACUUUCAUUGCGUGUUGUAACAAUAAUUUUGCUUCCUUUUGCUCCAGAUUUCAAUGGCAUUCGUAAGAUGUCCCAAUCAGCAUACUGAUCAUUCCACACAUCAUCUAAAAU